rnacentral:rRNA from 1 species
AUUGAACGCUGGCGGUAGGCCUAACACAUGCAAGUCGAGCGGAUGAAGGGAGCUUGCUCCUGGAUUCAGCGGCGGACGGGUGAGUAAUGCCUAGGAAUCUGCCUGGUAGUGGGGGAUAACGUCCGGAAACGGGCGCUAAUACCGCAUACGUCCUGAGGAAGAAAGUGGGGGAUCUUCGGACCUCACGCUAUCAGAUGAGCCUAGGUCGGAUUAGCUAGUUGGUGGGGUAAAGGCCUACCAAGGCGACGAUCCGUAACUGGUCUGAGAGGAUGAUCAGUCACACUGGAACUGAGACACGGUCCAGACUCCUACGGGAGGCAGCAGUGGGGAAUAUUGGACAAUGGGCGAAAGCCUGAUCCAGCCAUGCCGCGUGUGUGAAGAAGGUCUUCGGAUUGUAAAGCACUUUAAGUUGGGAGGAAGGGCAGUAAGUUAAUACCUUGCUGUUUUGACGUUACCAACAGAAUAAGCACCGGCUAACUUCGUG